AAACAGGACACAGAUUAGGUCAUUGUUCGCAACCUCUUAAGGAUAUUUUCUUUAUGUUUCCCAAUCGCAGAUUGUUUCCUCUGCAAGAAAGGUCAGAAUUGUCCAAGAAACACUUGUGGAAUCUAUCCAAAGGUAUGUGAAUGCUGCUUGACUUCACUGGGACUGUUUCAGGGUGGAUGCUGCAAGCUAUGCGGCGAGGUCACUCAUCUAGGCAGGGAUUGCCCACGAAAACUAAAGACACAAAAAUAAGCAAGGAUGUGGCCCAAAGCGGCGAGAAGCGUAUUGUUUAUAAAAGCGGUGAUGAUCUAAGCAUUCGUUCUUAAAUAUGUAGCAAGCUCCCAGAUAACUAACCAUGUGAAAUUGAAAAGGUAACACCCUCCAGCAGUGAAUUUCGGAUCA